UACAGAGGUCUCAAGCGUUGUUCGGAUUCAUUGGGCGUAAAGAGCGCGUAGGCGGCGGGGCAAGUCGGGUGUGAAAUCUCAGGGCUCAACCCUGAAACUGCACUCGAUACUGCUCUGCUUGAGGACUGGAGAGGAGACUGGAAUUCACGGUGUAGCAGUGAAAUGCGUAGAUAUCGUGAGGAAGACCAGUGGCGAAGGCGGGUCUCUGGACAGUUCCUGACGCUGAGGCGCGAAGGCCAGGGGAGCAAACGGG
rnacentral:rRNA from 1 species